CAGUAGCCGCGGUAAUACAGAGGAUGCAAGCGUUAUCCGGAAUGAUUGGGCGUAAAGCGUCUGUAGGUGGCUUUUCAAGUCCGCUGUCAAAUCCCAGGGCUCAACCCUGGACAGGCGGUGGAAACUACCAAGCUGGAGUACGUUAGGGGCAGAGGGAAUUUCCGGUGGAGCGGUGAAGUGCGUUGAGAUCGGAAAGAACACCAACGGCGAAAGCACUCUGCUGGGCCGACACUGACACUGAGAGACGAAAGCUAGGGGAGCAAAUGGGAUUAGAUACCCCCGUAGUCCCUGUCUCUUAUAC
rnacentral:rRNA from 1 species